GACGAACGCUGGCGGCGUGCUUAACACAUGCAAGUCGAACGGUGAACUCCGCUUGCGGGGGGAUCAGUGGCGAACGGGUGAGUAACACGUGGGCAACCUGCCCUCAGCUCUGGGAUAACUCCAAGAAAUUGGGGCUAAUACCGGAUAUGACCGCUGACCGCAUGGUCUGGUGGUGGAAAGAUUUAUCGGCUGGGGAUGGGCCCGCGGCCUAUCAGCUUGUUGGUGGGGUAGUGGCCUACCAAGGCGACGACGGGUAGCCGGCCUGAGAGGGUGACCGGCCACACUGGGACUGAGACACGGCCCAGACUCCUACGGGAGGCAGCAGUGGGGAAUAUUGCGCAAUGGGCGAAAGCCUGACGCAGCGACGCCGCGUGGGGGAUGACGGCCUUCGGGUUGUAAACCUCUUUCAGCAGGGACGAAGCGAAAGUGACGGUACCUGCAGAAGAAGCACCGGCCUACUACGUG
rnacentral:rRNA from 1 species